CAAGUGUUUAUUUUUGCAAUAUUGGUGGCUUGACGUUGGUAUGUAAUCUUGCAAGUUCAGAUAUGCCCAGGAACUUACAAGAAGCCACCCUGUAUGCAUAAGGAACUCUGGACAAUUCUAAUGUCUUCUGUCAAAAAAGUCUCUUUCCUCACGAAUUUUUUGACGAAAUGAAGACGCUCAUAAUUGACGAGAAGUCCAGCGUGGAUUUGCAAACAAUGUCUGUCUCCCUUCUGUUGGACCUGAUUUCAUAGAACAGUGCUGGACAAAUGUAUUUGAAAGAAACAGGCUGCAUUCCUGUUCUGCAGAAGUUAUUCAGGUAAACAACUAGGAAACUAAUCUUUGGUCAAGAUAGUAUGG